GUCGUCCUUCGUCGAAGCAUUGUCAGCCAUCGUGCUCUUUGUUGGAGGUCUGCCGCCGCACCGCAGCAUUUAUUAUCAAAAUGUACUUGAACCUGCAGGUAAGGAAAGAAGGCUUUGGUCGUCACACUUCUCUUCACCGGGUUGACUUCAUCCUGCGGCGGGGUCACGUCCAGUCAUUGUUAAUCUUCUAAACACCAUGGAGUCAAACACUUGGUUCGGCCUUGUAUUGAUCUUCACCACUAUCUACAGUCUACAUGCAAGCAGGACGUUGGAGCAGACAAAUAUGCAGCCUGAAACAUCACCGCCCCUCGAGCCACAUCUCCAGAGUACGCCAUCUCGUGCCUUAGCCGUCGAGCAAUCACCCGGCGAGACGCGCUCAAUUUGACCCAACAAAGGCGUCUUAUUACCCUCCCGUAAUUGGAAACACCUCGCAAGGACGUGGCGCCACAUCAUGAUUCCAUUUACAAUAUUUACAACUCAAUAAACAUUUCGUUUCAUCCGGCGUCCUUCAUGCCUGCGAGUGGCAGAUAAGACAGAGGUUAAAGAGAGCACUAAACAGAAAUUGGCACAAAGCAGAUCAUAUAUGGACGCCAGCGCUGGAGCUUUCCUUUGAGAAGGAUGCAGCUUUA